rnacentral:rRNA from 1 species
AUUGAACGCUGGCGGCAGGCCUAACACAUGCAAGUCGAACGAGCGGCGGACGGGUGAGUAAUGUAUGGGAAUCGGCCCGAUAGAGGGGGAUAACGACUGGAAACUGUGGCUAAUACCGCGUACCAUAGGAUGAACCCAAAUGGGAUUAGCUAGUGGGUGGGGUAAAGGCCCACCCAGACGACGAUCCCUAGCUGGUCUGAGAGGAUGAUCAGCCACACUGGGACUGAGACACGGCCCAGACUCCUACGGGAGGCAGCAGUGGGGAAUAUUGCGCAAUGGGGGCAAGCCUGAUGCAGCCAUGCCGCGUGUAUGAAGAAGGCCUUCGGGUUGUAAAGUACUUUCAGUGAGGAGGCGUUACCCGCAGAAGAAGCACCGGCUAACUCCGUGCCAGCAGCCGCGGUAAUAC